rnacentral:rRNA from 1 species
GACGAACGCUGGCGGCGUGCCUAAUACAUGCAAGUCGAGCGCAGGAAAUCAUCCGAACCCUUCGGGGGGACGUUGAUGGAAUGAGCGGCGGACGGGUGAGUAACACGUAAAGAACCUGCCCUCAGGUCUGGGAUAACCACGAGAAAUCGGGGCUAAUACCGGAUGGGUCAUCGGACCGCAUGGUCCGAGGAUGAAAGGCGCUCCGGCGUCGCCUGGGGAUGGCUUUGCGGUGCAUUAGCUAGUUGGUGGGGUAAUGGCCCACCAAGGCGACGAUGCAUAGCCGACCUGAGAGGGGGAUCGGCCACACGGGGACUGAGACACGGCCCAGACUCCUACGGGAGGCAGCAGUAGGGAAUCUUCCACAAUGGACGAAAGUCUGAUGGAGCAACGCCGCGUGAACGAUGAAGGCCUUCGGGUCGUAAAGUUCUGUUGUAAGGGAAGAACAAGUGCCGCAGGCAAUGGCGGCACCUUGACGGUACCUUGCGAGAAAGCCACGGCUAACUACGUGCCAGCAGCCGCAGUAAGAC